rnacentral:rRNA from 1 species
UACGAAGGGGGCUAGCGUUGCUCGGAAUUACUGGGCGUAAAGGGCGCGUAGGCGGAUACUUAAGUCGGGGGUGAAAGCCCAGGGCUCAACCCCGGAACAGCCUUCGAUACUGGGUAUCUUGAGUACGGGAGAGGUGUGUGGAACUCCGAGUGUAGAGGUGAAAUUCGUAGAUAUUCGGAGGAACACCAGAAGCGAAGGCGGCUCACUGGCCCGAUACUGACCGCUGAGGCGCGAAAGCGUGGGGAGCAAACAGG